rnacentral:sRNA from 1 species
UUCGAUUGACAUUGUCAAUCCGUUAUGUUACACUAACGGAAGAGCUACAAGAUAGCUGGAAUUGUUUUUUUAGGAGGAUUUUGUUAUGCACGGUAAAGUAAAAUGGUUUAGCGCAGAAAAAGGUUAUGGCUUCAUCGAAAGAGAAGAUGGCGGCGACGUUUUCGUUCACUUCUCCGCUAUCCAGGAAGAUGGCUUCAAAUCCUUGACCGAAGGUCAGGAAGUUGAAUUCGACAUCGUUGAAGGUGCGCGCGGACCGCAGGCAGCUAACGUAGUUAAAUGCUAAUCGGAAAGUAAAAUAGACCUUUUAAGGGGCUCACGGGACGGCUUCGGCCAGCCUGUGCGGCCCUUUUUU